CAUUCAUCAGCGGAGGAAAAGAAACCAACAGGGAUUGCCCUAGUAACGGCGAGUGAAGCGGCAACAGCUCAAAUWUGAAAUCUGGCCUUCGGGUCCGAGUUGUAAUUUGUAGAGGAUGCUUUUGGCGCGGUGCCUUCCGAGUUCCCUGGAACGGGACGCCUUAGAGGGUGAGAGCCCCGUACGGUUGGACACCAAGCCUCUGUAAAGCUCCUUCGACGAGUCGAGUAGUUUGGGAAUGCUGCUCUAAAUGGGAGGUAAAUUUCUUCUAAAGCUAAAUACCGGCCAGAGACCGAUAGCGCACAAGUAGAGUGAUCGAAAGAUGAAAAGCACUUUGAAAAGAGGGUUAAAUAGCACGUGAAAUUGUUGAAAGGGAAGCGUUUACGGCCAGACCUUUUCCUGGCGGAUCAUCUGGUGUUCUCACCAGUGCACUCCGCCAGGUUUAGGCCAGCAUCGGCUCCCGUAGGGGGAUAAAAGCAGUGGGAAAGUAGCUCCCUCGGGAGUGUUAUAGCCCGCUGCACAAUACCCUUACAGGGGCCGAGGACCGCGCUUUUGCAAGGAUGCUGGCGUAAUGGUCGUCAACGACCCGUCUUGAAACACGGACCAAGGAGUCGAACAUUUGUGCGAGUGUUUGGGUGUCAAACCCUCACGCGUAAUGAAAGUGAACGGAGGUGAGAGCCCUCUAGGGGGUGCAUCAUCGACCGAUCCUGAUGUCUUCGGAUGGAUUUGAGUAAGAGCAUAACUGUUCGGACCCGAAAGAUGGUGAACUAUGCGUGGAUAGGGUGAAGCCAGAGGAAACUCUGGUGGAGGCUCGCAGCGGUUCUGACGUGCAAAUCGAUCGUCAAAUCUGCGCAUGGGGGCGAAAGACUUAUCGAACCAUCUCGUACCUGGUUACC
rnacentral:rRNA from 1 species